UGCCUUUAAAGGCUAAUUAUUCUGACGGUCAUUUCUUUCCUAAAUACCUGAGGGAGGGAGGGAGGUGUCGUUCCUGCAACGGAGUUCGUGGCUCUGAACGCAUGCAGUGGCCGCUGUGUCCUUGCCCCCGCACCAGGCCCCAAAGGCGGCAGCUCCCACGGCCUCGUCCAUUUCUAAAAGCCCCACCUCCGAGAGGCACAGGAGGGCAAUUCACAGAGGGUGUUUUCGAACCGGGACAGACGGCUUCAGGAAGCCUUUAGGAACUGUUCUGCCUGUGAGGGCCGUGAACAGGGGCAGUUAGGACCCUGCUGGGUGAGGGAGGUUUUAAUGGGUGCAUCUCGGCACCGGGACACCUGCACAGCACACACCACGGCUGUUGUUUCAAGCGUCUGGGGACGUCAACCCCCAGGUCAUCAGGCAGGUGAUGCGUCCAUGAGGGAGGUAAGGAGAGGAGGGUCAGGUGCAGGGCCAGGUCCUGUCCUGCUGCGUCCGUGAGGGAGGUGAGGAGAGGAGGGUCAGGUGCAGGGCCGGGUCCU
rnacentral:lncRNA from 1 species